CCAUUAGGGAUGGAUUGUGAUUGUGAUUGGAUUGGAAUGGAAUCAUGCCUUCCCUUCCCACCCUCCUUCAUCCAUCUGGGCUUAAUCUAAUCUAAUGUAAUCCAUCCUCUAGGUCCUUCCUUGACACACGAUCCAGGUUUGUAGUGUUGCGGCUUGUGAGCUAGCAGUGCUAGUACUGGUGGUGUGUGAAAAAGAUGAGAUAACAGUGGCAGGGGAAUCAGCAGGGAAUCGGCAGAAAGGGUGAUGGAUGGACGGAUGGAUGGACGGACAUGAUGCGUCUGCUGGACAUAAAGGCCGGGCAUCAUUUGCGUCCAAGAAAAAAAUGCGACCAGUUGCCGUGUGUGAGCGUGUUUUUUUUUUAAUUCAUCCCUGGAAGAGUGCAAAGCACACGCCAUGCCAAGAAUAUCAGAUUGAGAUUGCCAUUUGCCAUGUGUGCAAUGCAAAUACUACCUUUUUACCAA